rnacentral:rRNA from 1 species
UACGUAGGUGACAAGCGUUGUCCGGAUUUACUGGGCGUAAAGAGCGCGCAGGCGGCCGAUCAAGUCGAGUGUGAAAGCCCCCGGCUCAACUGGGGAGGGUCAUUCGAUACUGAUCGACUCGAAGGCAGGAGAGGGUAGUGGAAUUCCCGGUGUAGUGGUGAAAUGCGUAGAUAUCGGGAGGAACACCAGUGGCGAAGGCGGCUAACUGGUCCGGUUCUGACGCUGAGGCGCGAAAGCGUGGGGAGCAAACAGG